rnacentral:ncRNA from 2 species
GCCUCGCAUCCAGAGCUGGGCUGACGCCCACGCCAACCUGCCUUCCCGGGCAAGGUGGUGGCCUCUCGCAAGAGGGGCGAUGCGGCCGGACCGGCAACCAAACGGGUCGAA